AGAAUGAACGCUGGCGGCGUGCUUAACACAUGCAAGUCGAGCGAGGCCAGGGGGGGCAACUCCCUGAGUCGAGCGGCGGACGGGUGAGUAACACGUGGGUAACCUACCCGGAAGUGGGGGAAUACCUCGGGGAAACUCGAGCUAAUACCGCAUGAAAUCUCGAGGACGAAAGUCCUUUUGAUCAAAGCGGGCCGCAAGGCCUCGUGCUACCGGAUGGGCCCGCGCCCGAUUAGCUAGUUGGCGAGGUAAUGGCUCACCAAGGCGACGAUC
rnacentral:rRNA from 1 species